rnacentral:rRNA from 1 species
AUUGAACGCUGGCGGCAGGCCUAACACAUGCAAGUCGAACGGUAACAGGAAGAAGCUUGCUUCUUUGCUGACGAGUGGCGGACGGGUGAGGAAUGUCUGGGAAACUGCCUGAUGGAGGGGGAUAACUACUGGAAACGGUAGCUAAUACCGCAUAACGUCGCAAGACCAAAGAGGGGGACCUUCGGGCCUCUUGCCAUCGGAUGUGCCCAGAUGGGAGUAGCUAGUAGGUGGGGUAACGGCCCACCCAGGCGACGAUCCCUAGCUGGUUUGAGAGGAGGACCACCCACCCUGGAAUUGGGACACGGUCCAGACUCCUCCGGGAGGCAGCGGUGGGGAAUAUUGCACAAUGGGCGCAAGCCUGAUGCAGCCAUGCCGCGUGUAUGAAGAAGGCCUUCGGUUUUUAAAGUACUUUCAGCGGGGAGGAAGGGAGUAAAGUUAAUACCUUUGCUCAUUGACGUUACCCGCAGAAGAAGCACCGGCUAACUCCGUG